rnacentral:tRNA from 3 species
GGGGGUUUAGCUCAGCUGGCUAGAGCGCUACACUGGCAGUGUAGAGGUCACCGGUUCGAAUCCGGUAUCCUCCACCA